GAGGAAUGUAUAGCAAUAGCUACCUGCAUCAUUGUAAAAAUGAUGCAGGAUCGACUAUGUCGAAUAAAAUUCUAGGUAGAAUUAUGAUAAUGACAUUGUCUGCCUAUGUGUCUUGACCAAAUUACGUGCCAGCAGUCGCGGUAAUACGUAGAAGACUAGUGUUAUUCAUGUUUAAUCGGUUUAAAGGGUACCUAGACGGUAAAUCAAGCCUAAAAUUAAAUCAAAUGAAGGGACUAAUUUACUAGAGUUACUUAUGAGGGGGUAUUAAAGUACUGCUGGUGUAGAGAUGAAAUUCUGUCAUACCUCUUUUCAAUAGAAAAAUAAUGGCACAGGUAUAGGCGAAAGCAUCCCCUUAUGUGAUAACUGACGUUGAGGGACGAAGGCUUUGUGUAGCGAACAGGAUUAGAUACCCCCGUAGUCAAAGCAGAAAAUGAUGAAUGUCAUAGAUUAGAUAAAUAAGUUUAUUCUAUAAAUGAAAGUGUAAGCAUUCCACCUCAAGAGUAAUUUGGCAACAUUGGAACUGAAAUCAUUAGACCGUUUCUGAAACCAGUAGUGAAGUAUGUUGUUUAAUUUGAUUGUCCGCAAAAAACCUUACCACAAUUUGAAUAUUUAUAUCUUUUAUUGUUUUUUUUUAUUUUUCUUCUCUUAUGAUUUGAUUUUUCUAUAGAAAGAAGAUUUUUCUAAAGAAAAAAAUAAAGAGAGGCGAUAUGAUAUAUUUACAAGCGUUGCACGGCUGUCUUCAGUUAAUGUCGCGAGACUCUGGUUAGUUCCAUUAAAUUAACGUAAACCCUUACUCUAUUUUUAUAUAGAGUAGUUCCCCGCUAUAUUGGAU
rnacentral:rRNA from 1 species